rnacentral:rRNA from 1 species
UACGAAGGGGGCUAGCGUUGCUCGGAAUCACUGGGCGUAAAGGGUGCGUAGGCGGGUCUUUAAGUCAGGGGUGAAAUCCUGGAGCUCAACUCCAGAACUGCCUUUGAUACUGAGGAUCUUGAGUUCGGGAGAGGUGAGUGGAACUGCGAGUGUAGAGGUGAAAUUCGUAGAUAUUCGCAAGAACACCAGUGGCGAAGGCGGCUCACUGGCCCGAUACUGACACUGAGAAGCGAAAGCGUGGGGAGCGAACAGG